rnacentral:rRNA from 1 species
UACGGGGGGGGCAAGCGUUGUUCGGAAUUACUGGGCGUAAAGGGCGCGUAGGCGGCCUGUUAAGUCACACGUGAAAUCCCUCGGCUCAACCGGGGAACUGCGUGUGAUACUGGCGGGCUUGAAUUCGGGAGAGGGAUGUGGAAUUCCAGGUGUAGCGGUGAAAUGCGUAGAUAUCAGGAGGAACACCAAUGGCGAAGGCAGCCCCCUGGGUCAAAAUUGACGCUCAUGCACGAAAGCGUGGGGAGCAAACAGG